UACGUAGGGUGCGAGCGUUGUCCGGAAUUAUUGGGCGUAAAGGGCUCGUAGGCGGUUUGUCGCGUCGGGAGUGAAAACACUGGGCUUAACCGAGUGCUUGCUUUCGAUACGGGCAGACUUGAGGCAUUCAGGGGAGAACGGAAUUCCUGGUGUAGCGGUGAAAUGCGCAGAUAUCAGGAGGAACACCGGUGGCGAAGGCGGUUCUCUGGGAAUGUUCUGACGCUGAGGAGCGAAAGUGUGGGGAGCGAACAG
rnacentral:rRNA from 1 species